CUUUGAUUGUUUCCAAGGGAAAGAAAAAGAGAAUAGAAUUUCCAUCGCCCUCUGUCUUAUUCUCUGUCUUUUUUUCUUCUCUUCUCUCAUUGGUCAAUUUUACUUAUUCUUUUUUAUUCUUUUCUAAAUAAUUUCAGUUCUUAUUUACCAAUUAACGGAAGUUGAGUUAAUUUAAAUUCUUAAUUGUUUUCAAUUUGAUUGAUUCUAAAAUCGAUUUGAUUUCAUUUCAAUUCUCAAGAUCAACUAAUUGUUUCAACUCGGAUUCAGUUGAUCUCGAUUGGUGAAGUUUGGUGAUUCUUUUUGAAUCUUUGUUGUCACUUGUUGAUUUGUGUCUUAAUUGUUGCCGUUGUUUUAAAUUGUAUUAAUUUAAAUUGCAACUCUUUCUUUUCAACAUCUUAAUCAUCAUCAUCAUAUUCCUUUUAUAUGGGAAAAAGUUUGUUAACAAUUAGUGAGAUGAUAAUUGUUCAACUUUCAACCUUAAAUCAUAAACAUUAGGAUCAUAAAGAGUUGACUCUUUAUGUCGCCAUAUUGGAUUGUGUAUCUUUUUCGCUCAUUUGAAUUGAUAUUUUUGUUAAAUCAGAAAAUUAAGAAGGUGGAAAAGGUUAAAUGAACAAUUAAUGAGCCAUUUAUUUUAACAAUCGAUGGGUGAAAGCACAAAAAUAAUCAACUGACCAGUUUGUUUGGAUAAUCUGAACAUGGGUGUGGAAGGAGAGCCUUAAUGCCAACAAUGGACAAAGAUCAAACCUUAUUAUCAAGUUACUCCAGAUAAAUUAAAGACACAAAUCAAUCAAAGAUCUGAAGAGUAUUGUUACAAUUGAUUAUGUCCAUCCGAUCGCAAGGGUUACUACUGAGUUGACUUUAAUUGAUGGUCCACCAUUCGUGAAAAUUUGAUAUUUACAUGUUGAAAUUUAUUUAUAACAAUUUGGUGCUCAUUUCUAAUUGUAACUGUUACAUCAACAUGCAAAAAUUAUCUUCGUUACAAUAAACAAAAGUGAAUACAAAUGUUUAUGUAAACAUUUUUAUAGGAACAACAACAACAAUCAACAAACAAUUAUUACGAUUCACGAUUUUUUAUAUGAAGAUUUAAGAAAAACUAGGAGUCGUACAGACAUGGAAAAAAUAUCAACAGAAACAAGACAAAAAUCUUCAACAACAAAAAAUAGAGCCAAUGUCAUAAGGGGUCAGGGUCAAAAGUUAUUAAUUAAUGAAAAAAAUGUGAAAAAUGUUAAUUAGAUUAAUAAGAGGAUUAGAUGGAAAAGAAAGAGAAAAGGGGAAGAGAGAGAGAGAAGGGAUGAAUUAUGACGUUCGGGGCAAUGAAAGGGGAAGAGAAAAGAAAGAGCAUCAGAUUCAUGUAAGUUUUUCAAUUGUAUCAACCGCACGCCCUGGGAUAUUAAAACUUUGAGAGGUUAAUCAAAGAUACGAUUAACUACUCUGUUAAAAUUAAGGUUGACAAAAUUUUCAAGAAAAAAGACAGAAAAGAUGACAUUCAUGAAUCCAUCUCCUAAAAUUAUUCAGAAAAGCGAUCAUGUUGAUCGCUUGGUUUUCCUUGUUAUUAUUAUUGAUUAUCUUUUAUCUUAAUUGGUUGUAAGAUUUAAUAAGAUGCUGAUUAUGAUAUAAUUUACCUUCCGGUUGGUGUAUAAACGAUGGAGAUGAUUAAUAUUAAUCAUAACAAUAAAGGUUCUUAUGUUACCUGAAGAAAAAAGGAGAUUAUUACCAUUUGGGAGGAAGAAGAAAUUGAAACAAAAAGUGUUCCAAAUGAAAAGAAAAGAAAAGGAGGAGACCAAGGAUAGAAAAGAGCACCGAGAGGUUCAUGGUAUCAUUGGAGAAUCACCGAUAAGCGAAUAUUUAAAUAAUAGAAUAGAUUAGUUGAUGAUGAAGAAGAUUAACUGAUAAUUUGGAUAAGAUGGUUAAGAUAUAAGUGAGAGAGAAAAGAGAGUUGUGAAUUAACUCAAAUAUAAUCUUUUUGUUUGAUUCCAAACCCAAGAGAUGGAAAAGAUGAACAUGAAGCUUAUCCUGAAAUCUACGAUGAUUAUUUUUACAUGUUGACCAGAGAUGAUUUCAACUCUCUCUCUCCCUGAACGUGCUGAUUCAACAAAAAGCUCAAAAUUUUCUCAUGAUGAUACUUCAAAACAAGAUAAACAUGAACACCAUCAGUAACAAACAAGAAUCACUUCAUAAAUAUGAUAAUACAAUUUAAAUGGAAGGACUGAAAACAAUCAAUUCAAUCGACCUGAUUUCUCAAUCUACUGGACAAUCAACAAUGAAUAUUUUGUUUUCUCUCUCUACAAUUACCUUAAAAUCAUUGACCAUAUAUACAUAAUAUUUUAAUAAUAAUAUAAGAGUGACCAUUAACAUUAGCAAAGUUCAAUUCUGUCAGUUAUCACAAUCAAUUGAUAACGUUAAGAAAUACAUAUCGGAGCAAAAGGAGAAAUCAAAUAUACACUCACUCACCAUACAAUCAACUUUAAUACUCAAACAAUCAAAGGAGAUCAAACUUCAAUCACUAUUAUCAACACUUGUAAUCACAAUUAAACCUCCCUCUCAAUCUUUAAAUUGUGAUUAACCAUUAUUGGUCAUUUGAUAAUCACCUUAAUCGAAAUGGUUUGUUUUCAAAUCUCCUCUUAAUCCUUUAUAAAUAUAAAAGGUUAACAAUUUACGAUUAACCUUUUUUGUUCAUCUUAAAUUGUAUUUAGUUAAUAUCAAUUUAAUUGAUAGUUUCAUUGUA